GUCUACGGCCAUGCCACCCUGAACAAGCCCGAUCCUGUCUGAUCUCGGAAGCUAAGCAGGGUCGGGCCUGGUUCGUACUUGGAUGGGAGACCACCUAGGAAGACGAGAUGCUGUUAGCA
ensembl:rRNA 5S_rRNA 5S ribosomal RNA